rnacentral:rRNA from 1 species
CCUACGGGAGGCAGCAGUGAGGAAUAUUGGACAAUGGGCGCAAGCCUGAUCCAGCCAUGCCGCGUGCAGGAAGACGCAUCUAUGGUGUGUAAACUGCUUUUGUACGGGAAGAAACACUCCUUCGUGAAGGAGCUUGACGGUACCGUAAGAAUAAGGAUCGGCUAACUCCGUGCCAGCAGCCGCGGUAAUACGGAGGAUCCAAGCGUUAUCCGGAAUCAUUGGGUUUAAAGGGUCCGUAGGCGGUUUGGUAAGUCAGUGGUGAAAGCCCGCAGCUCAACUGUGGAACGGCCAUUGAUACUGCCAGACUUGAAUUACAAGGAAGUAACUAGAAUAUGUAGUGUAGCGGUGAAAUGCUUAGAUAUUACAUGGAAUACCAAUUGCGAAGGCAGGUUACUACUUGUGGAUUGACGCUGAUGGACGAAAGCGUGGGGAGCGAAC